rnacentral:rRNA from 1 species
AUGAAGCUGCCAUCUGGUAUAGGUAACCUGACUUCCUUAGAAAUGCUAGGUCAACUAGGGGUGUCUGGCAUGCACCUCGAUGCUGUGAAAGAAUUGGGCCAUCUGACCAAGCUCAGGGUGCUCCGGGUUUUAUGUAACUGUUUGGAUGAGGCCUCGGAUAAAGCUUUGGAGGAAUCACUUGGUAAUCUGCACAAAUUGGAAAGUUUAGAGAUAGAGAUAUUUACCGAAGAUGAAUUAAUAAAUUUGUUGAGCAAAGAUUGGGUGCCCCCUUUAACACUCCGUAAGUUGGAUUUCCGGUCAGUCUAUAGCCGGUUCCAGGCACUACCGUUAUGGAUCAAUCCUUUAUCCCUUCCUCUCCUCACCCAUCUUCGUAUCAAAUUGGAUGAAGUGCGGUGGGAAGUCAUCCAGCUUCUUGGAACGAUGCCUGCUCUUUGUGUUCUCGAGAUAUGUGAUUUUUCUAAGGUCUGUGGAUGUGAAGAGUAUACGGUGGAAAUGCCCGCACUUCCAUCUGGUGCGUUAUUCCCAUGUGCCCGGGUGUGCCGCUUCAUUGGUAUUGGUGCCGUGCCGUCUAUGUUUCCACUAGGAGCUGCGCCGAGGCUUAAACACCUUUUGUUCGCCUUCUCAGCUGAGUGGAUCUCCCAUGAAAACUUAGAUUUGGGCAUGCGGCACCUCCCUUCCCUCCAGCGAGUUGAGGUUAGCAUUAUCAAUGCAGAGGCGAAUGAAGCAGAGGCUGCGCUGAGGGCCACGGUGGAGGACCACUCCAACCAUCCCAUCCUUGCCUUUGACAUCAUCUGUUCAUCCUGCCAGCGUUCAGGUUCGCAGAGCUUACCUCUGUUGUAA